AAGCCCGAGUAAACGGCGGCCGUAACUAUAACGGUCCUAAGGUAGCGAAAUUCCUUGUCGGUUAAAUACCGACCUGCAUGAAUGGCGUAACGAGAUGGGAGCUGUCUCAACCAGAGAUUCAGUGAAAUUGUAGUGGAGGUGAAAAUUCCUCCUACCCGCGGCAAGACGGAAAGACCCCGUGGACCUUU
rnacentral:rRNA from 1 species